AUGCGUCUCCUGCUCCACGUUGAGUCCGUUCACCUCGACGACGCGGUCCCCGGCGCGCAGCCCCGCCGCCUCGGCGGGCGAGCCGGGCUCCACUUUGCGGAUGAACUGGCCGCUCUUGCCCUUCUCGCCGUGCAGGUGAAAGCCGUAGCCGCUCUCCCCCUUGAGCAUUCGGCACAGCCGCGGCUUCAGCUGGUCCUUAGCCAUGGCCGGCGGCGGAGCGGCGGCGGCGGCAGCGGAGGCUGGGCGGGCGCGGGGCCGCUUUUAUGGGCGGCCCGGGGCGGGCGCCGAGGGGCGGGUCGGGACCAGGGCCGGCGCCGAGGCCGAGGCCGGGGCUGGGGCUGGGGCUGCGGCUGCGGCCGGCGGUGGGAGCGGGGCAGGAGCAGGGCGAGGGGCCGGGGCGAUGCGCAGCUCGGCCAUGCUGUGGCUGCCCCGCGGCACCGGGAGCGCGGCGGGCGGGGACGGCGGCGGGACGGGAGGGGACGGGGCGGAGCCGCAGCGAGGGACGGGGCGGGCGGGGCGAGACCGGCAUCGGAACCGGCACCGGCACCGGCACCGGCACCGGCACCGGCAGCAGCAGCCGAUGGAGCCCCGGGGCCAAAACCCUCCCAGCAGCAGCCAUCUGGUUGGAACCCUGUGGCGCAGGGUGCCUGGAGAAGCUGUGGCUGCCCCUGGAUCCCUGGGAGUGUCCAAGGCCAGGUUGGACGGGGCUUGGAGCAGCCUGGGAUAGUGGAAGGUGUUCCUGCCCAUGGCAGGGGGUGGGACUGGAUGGACUUUAAGGUCCUUCCAACCCAAACCAUCCCAGGAUUCGAUGAAUCCUGGUGGGGAAAGGCUCCCACUCCAUCCCAGCUGACCUUUGGAGAGGCCAUCCGGGUUUCACCUGGACUGAGUUUGUUUAAUGAAACACAGAGAUCCCCAUCUUCACCCUUUUGCAUUCCUCGUCUUCAUUUCCUUGAAAUCUUUUAUAAGGUGGGUGUGACCCAGACCAGCUGUCACAGUGAUGGCACUGAGUGUCACAUUUCUUUGACACAGGUUCUCAGGCCUUUCUCUGCAGUUUCUCCUUCCUUAACAGCUUUCCUACCAGAUUUUACAGUGCUGAAGCAAACACAGCAGCCAGUU
rnacentral:lncRNA from 1 species